UAAAAAAUGAGAUAAGGAUUCUGCUGGAGAUACAUAGCCCAGCGCCCAAAAUAAUUGAUUAUUAGAGCAACUUCAACAGAAGCCCUAACGCUGAAACAAAUUGAAAUAUAAGGCUUAAACAAGAAAGGUGAGCUCCAACAGGAGCCUCAUUUUAAUAAAAUUCAUCUAAAUGUUUUAAGCUAAAAGAGCGGCAGAUUUGGGGCUCACAAACGUGCGGCCGGCCCAAUACUGUUCGCGGUCAUUCCAACCUUCGUUGGACAUUUCACCGAGACAACUUCCUCGCCGCCACCGAUCCAGACCCACGCGCCCGCCCCCAAUCUCAUCUCUAGGUCACCUCAUUAAUUCGUUUCUCGGUGAGGAGCCGCUGAGGAAGACGAUCGUCCCCUCUCCAUCAUCCUGCCUCCCCGUGGUUCGUCUCCCAGCUCCUCUUGAUUUGCUAGGCGCUCUUGUCUUUUGUCUCACAUCUCCCCUCCUCUUGAUCUGCUAGGUGCUUGAUGGAUCAAAGGCCGUCGUCCCCACGGUCGCAGCCGUACGUCAGCGAGGGCUCAACGAUUUUCUGGAAGCAAUCGGAAGAAAAGCUAGGCGGGAAUGGCGUGCGGAGUGGGAGAGAAAUAGAGGGGGCUAUGUACACGAACGUGAUGUAGUUGCAAACGUAAGCUAUUUUAGGGCCCAUGCAUGAUUGGAAUCGACAAUUGAAUUUGGGCCCUAAACAAAUAGAACAGGUAGUAAAUUAAAUUAUAAGGCUUAACUAUAAGGCUCAUGGUUAGAUCAAGACGCUCUUAGGCAACAAAACUAUCUUUUUUACUGAUUAU
rnacentral:lncRNA from 1 species